rnacentral:rRNA from 1 species
UACGGAGGGUGCAAGCGUUAUCCGGAUUCACUGGGUUUAAAGGGUGCGUAGGUGGGUUUGUAAGUCAGUGGUGAAAUCUCCAAGCUUAACUUGGAACUGCCGUUGAUACUAUAAAUCUUGAAUGUUGUGGAGGUGAGCGGAAUAUGUCAGUGUAGCGGUGAAAUGCUUAGAUAUGACAUAGAACACCAAUUGCGAAGGCAGCUCACUACACAAAGAUUGACACUGAGGCACGAAAGCGUGGGGAUCAAAC